rnacentral:rRNA from 1 species
GAUGAACGCUGGCGGCGUGCCUAAUACAUGCAAGUCGAGCGAACAGAUAAGGAGCUUGCUCCUUUGACGUUAGCGGCGGACGGGUGAGUAACACGUGGGUAACCUACCUAUAAGACUGGGAUAACUUCGGGAAACCGGAGCUAAUACCGGAUAACAUUUGGAACCGCAUGGUUCUAAAGUGAAAGAUGGUUUUGCUAUCACUUAUAGAUGGACCCGCGCCGUAUUAGCUAGUUGGUAAGGUAACGGCUUACCAAGGCGACGAUACGUAGCCGACCUGAGAGGGGGAUCGGCCACACUGGAACUGAGACACGGUCCAGACUCCUACGGGAGGCAGCAGUAGGGAAUCUUCCGCAAUGGGCGAAAGCCUGACGGAGCAACGCCGCGUGAGUGAUGAAGGGUUUCGGCUCGUAAAACUCUGUUAUUAGGGAAGAACAAAUGUGUAAGUAACUGUGCACGUCCUGACGGUACCUAAUCAGAAAGCCACGGCUAACUACGUG